GACGAACGCUGGCGGCGUGCCUAAUACAUGCAAGUAGGACGCAGUUGCGAACGGGUGAGUAACGCGUAGGUAACUACCUAUUGGAGGGGGAUAAAUAUUGGAAACGAUAGCUACUACCGCAUACUAGUAGAUGGACCUGAGUUGUUUUAGCUAGUAGGUAGGGUAAUGGCCUACCUAGGCAACGAUACAUAGCCGAGCUGAGGGGAUGAACGGCCAAACGGGGACUGAGACACGGACCAGACUCCUACGGGAGGCAGCAGUAUGGAAUCUUCGGCAAUGGGGGGAAGUCUGACCGAGCAACGCCGCGUGAGUGAAGAAGGUUUUCGGAUCGUAAAGCUCUGUUGUUAAGGAAGCGGUACUUAACCAGAAAGGUACGGCUAACUACGUGCCAGCAGCCGCGGUAAUUC
rnacentral:rRNA from 1 species